rnacentral:rRNA from 1 species
CCUACGGGUGACAGCAGUGAGGAAUAUUGGGCAAUGGGCGCGAGCCUGAACGAGCCAAGUAGCGUGAAGGAUGAAGGCCCUACGGGGGGUAAACUGCGUUUAUAAAGGAAUAAAGUGAGGCACGUGGGCAUUUUUGUAUGUACCUUAUGAAUAAGGAUAGGCUAACGCCGUGCCAGCAGCAGCGGUAAUACGGAGGAGGCGGGCGUUAUCCGGAUUUAUUGGGCUUAAGGGGUGCGUGGGCGGGCCUUUAAGGCGGCGGUAAAAGGUCGGGGCUAAGCCCCGGCCUGCCGUCGUAGCUGGGUGCCUUGAGUGGGCGAGAAGUGUGCGGAAUGCGUGGUGUAGCGGUGAAAUGCAUAGAUAUCACGCAGAACCCCGAUUGCGAAGGCAGCAUACCGG